GACGAACGCUGGCGGCGUGCUUAACACAUGCAAGUCGAGCGGUAAGGCCCUUUGGGGUACACGAGCGGCGAACGGGUGAGUAACACGUGAGUAAUCUGCCUUUGGCUCGGGAAUAACUUCGGGAAAUCGGGGCUAAUGCCUGAUGUUUACUGUCUGCUGCAUGGUGGGUGGUGGAAAAGAUUUUUUGGCCAGGGAUGAGCUCGCGGUCUAUCAGCUUGUUGGUGGGGUAAUGGCACCAAGGCUUUGACGGGUAGCCGGCCUGAGAGGGUGUUCGGCCACACUGGGACUGAGACACGGCCCAGACUCCUACGGGAGGCAGCAGUGGGGAUAUUGCGCAAUGGGCGUAAGCCUGACGCAGCGACGCCGCGU
rnacentral:rRNA from 1 species